rnacentral:rRNA from 1 species
GCCGGACUAAACAAUACAAAUAUAUUAACCCCAUCAAACAAAACAUUUGACCAACCAAGUAGAUGCGAUCGAACAGUAUAAACAACCACAUUAGUACCGCAAGGGAUAACCACAAGCAACAAAUAGCAAAGAUUAACCCUUGUACCUUUUGCAUCAUGGUCUAGCAAGAAAUCAAAGACAAGAAGAAUCAUAGCCUUCACCCCGAAACCAGAUGAGCUACUUUAAAGCAGCCUAAUGGGCACACCCUUCUCUGUAGCAAAAGAGUGGGAAGACUCAAAAGUAGCGGUGAAACGCCUACCGAAUCUGGAGAUAGCUGGCUACCCCAAAAAGAAUCUAAGUUCAACCUUAGGACAAAACAAUACCCCAUUAUUUACCUAAGGGUAAUCAAUAAAGGUACAGCUUUAUUGAAACAGGAUACAACCUGAAUUUGAGAGGAAAACAAAAUAUAUCACCAGUAGGCCUUAAAGCAGCCACCUAAUAAAAUAUCGUUACAGAAUUAACUAAAAAACUCAAACAUCAAAUAAAAACUCCAAACCAACUAAAGGUAGACCUAUAAUUAUAGGUACUAUUAUGCUAGAACUAAUAAUAAGACAACCUCUCUUCAAUGCACCCAUCCCCUAGACCGGAUACACCACUAGCCAUUAACAGACCAAAACAGGCAUGAACUAACCAAAACACACCUCUAAAUCAAACUGUGACCCCAACACAGGAGCAUUAAAAAGAAAGAUUUAACAUUAUAAAAGGAACUCGGCAAACACAGACCCCAACUGUUUAACAAAAACAUAACCUUUAGCCAAACAAAUAUUAAAGGCAACGCCUGCCCAGUGAACAAUUAAACGGCCGCGGUAUCCUAACCGUGCAAAGGUAGCAUAAUCAUUUGUCUACUAAUUAUAGACCUGUAUGAAAGGCAAAAUGAGGGUCCUACUGUCUCUUAUAAUUAAUCAAUUAAACUGAUCUACUAGUAAAAAAGCUAGAAUACCCACAUAAGACCAGAAGACCCUGUGAAGCUUAAACUAAACUAUUAAAUCAAAUAAUAGCUACUUUCGGUUGGGGCGACCUUGGAAAAAAAAAGAACUUCCAACACCGUGAUCUUCCUCACACCAUUAAAGGCUGACAAGCCAACAAAAGACCCAGCAAAGCUGAUAAAUGAACCAAGUUACUCCAGGGAUAACAGCGCAAUCUUCUUCAAGAGCCCAUAUCAAAAAGAAGGUUUACGACCUCGAUGUUGGAUCAGGACAUCCUAAUGGUGCAGCCGCUAUUAAGGGUUCGUUUGUUCAACGAUUAAUAGUCCUACGUGAUCUGAGUUCAGACCGGAGCAAUCCAGGUCGGUUUCUAUCUAUGAACCAGCCUUACCCAGUACGAAAGGAACGAUAAAGCAAAGCCAAUACCACAAGCACGCUUUAAUAAAGAUACCCAAACCAAUAUCACAACCAACCCAGCCUAAACCAAGACAAGGUUAAUUAGGGACCACCUUA